GAACGCACAUUGCGCCCGCCAGCAUUCUGGCGGGCAUGCCUGUUCGAGCGUCAUUUCAACCCUCAAGCUCUGCUUGGUGUUGGGGCCCUACGGUUGACGUAGGCCCUCAAAGGUAGUGGCGGACCCUCCCGGAGCCUCCUUUGCGUAGUAACUAACGUCUCGCAUCGGGAUCCGGAGGGACUCUUGCCGUAAAACCCCCCAAAUUUUUCAAUGGUUGACCUCGGAUCAGGUAGGAAUACCCGCUGAACUUAAG
rnacentral:misc_RNA from 1 species